rnacentral:lncRNA from 1 species
CUUUCUUCCUAGUCAUGAGUAGUGAGGGGUGAGUGGCUUCUGCCAGGCCUCUGUGGGCCUAGCACUCGGUGGCAGUGGGUGAGGGUCGUUGAGUCCGGCAAAGAGACAUGGAGCAGACGCUCUUCAGCCAUCCUUGCGUUAUUGAGCUCGGAGACUCGGGAGUUUGGGCCAGGGCAGUUCCUCCACCAGUCCCGACGUUUGCGCUACCUAAGCACGUUUGGAUUUAACAGGACCAUUUCAACUCCAAGACAGGUGAAAAUGUCACUGCGUAACUUUCACAACCGGUGGAUUUUCCUGGAUAUGCUUACAGAGAUGUCUGACAACCAUCAGAGGCAGCCAAAGUAUUGUGGACAGUUGACACAAUGUCAGUCUGUGGCAUCUUCACUGCCAAGUGAUAUUUCCACUCUAGAUAGCUAAACCCGAUUUUUUAAAAACUCACCUUUGGUAUAUAACAUCAGUUGGAAACUUCACACUGUUUUAGUUCUUCACUCUAAAGUGGAUAUCAACUUUAGUAACUGAUGACAGAUCCCAGCUUCCACAGUAAAAAUAGCCUCUGGUUUGGCCUGAUGUGUUUCCUCUUGCUAAGGAAGGGACUCUGGAGCAAACCAGCCUUGCAUAGAUUUAAGGAGAACAUUAUUCAUAUUUUGCACCUAUUACACCAUUGUAUUUGCAAUAAACUUUAAGGAAA